AUGGCUGACACCGCAAUGGCGAAAAUUCUCAGGAAGCUCCACUUAGAGACAGUUCAAUCCAAAUUUGAGAAGGAAAAAAUCACACCAGACAUUGUUGGGAAACUGUGUAUGGCAGAAUUUCAAAUGCUGGGCAUAUCAAACAGUUCAGAUAUGAUGAUGCUACGAACCGAGUGUGUUAAAUAUGGCUGUGGAAAAUUAGCUAAAGUACAUUUUUUAGCGGGAGUCGAUAAGUAUGGAAUUCCACUUCGAGUUCGAAGUGACAAAGGUCUUGAAAAUGUAGGAAUUGCAGAUUACAUGUUGGCAAGGCGAGGUUCUAGGGGCAUGAUUACUGGUAAGAGUACACACAACCAGAGAAUAGAGAGGUUAUGGCGUGACGUCUUUGAAGGUGUAUUGAGCUAUUUCUACCAACUUUUUUACUACAUGGAAGAUUUAGCUAUCCUGGACUGUUUGAACAAAGAACACUUGCUUGCUCUUCACGUUGUCUACAUGGGGGAAAUUAACAGAAAGCUUAGUGUGUGGUCACAAGCGUGGAAUUCUCAUAGACUGAGAAGUGUUAAGUCUUCUCCCCAAAAUUUAUGGAUGGCAGGGCAACUACAAAACCCAAUAGGUCUUGAAGAAAUUGACACCGGUUUGCACGAUGAAUCAAUAAAUGAAGAAGAUCCUGAGGUUGAAGACGAUGAGAGACCAAUAUUUGACCCUCUUGCUCCAGCUUUAAGUCAUGAAGACAUCCAAAGAUUAAGGGCUGAAAUUCCUCAUUUCAAACAUCAUGAAAAUUUUGGAAUAAAUGAUUAUAAAAACUGCUUAAGUAUAAUUCAAAGGUUUAAUCAACAAGGAGAUUGA
rnacentral:sRNA from 1 species